rnacentral:rRNA from 1 species
AUUGAACGCUGGCGGCAGGCCUAACACAUGCAAGUCGAACGAGUGGCGGACGGGUGAGUAAUGUCUGGGAAACUGCCUGAUGGAGGGGGAUAACUACUGGAAACGGUAGCUAAUACCGCAUACCAUCAGAUGUGCCCAAAUGGGAUUAGCUUUUUGGUGGGGUAACGGCUCACCAAGGCGACGAUCCCUAGCUGGUCUGAGAGGAUGACAGGACAAAGUGGAAAGGAGAAACGGUGCAGACUACGAAGGGAGGCAGCAGUGGGGAAGAGUGCAAAAUGGGGGAAAGGCUGAUGCAGCCAUGCCACGUGUAUGAAGAGGGACAUCGGGUUGGGAAGUACUUUCAGCGGGGAGGCGUGACCCGCAGAAGAAGCACCGGCUAACGCCGUGCCAGCGGCCGCGGUAAUUC